UAAUGUUGUUCCGGUUUUUGUUCUUGUGAGCGAUGACAUCGAUUCGUUCCAAAUUUACACUCUCUGGCCAUAAUAGAACAAUUUAAUUAGGUUUUACGCUUUCUUCGAUAAAAUGAGAAAAAGCACUCGUUGCAAAGUUAUACUGUUAUGGCGCAACUGAGUAGUCUAAAGUUGUUCCGGUUUUUGUUCUUGUGAGCGUUGACAUCGAUUCGUUCCAAAUUUACACUCUCUGGGCAUAAUAGAACAAUAUAAUUAGGUUUUACGCUUUCUUCGAUAAAAUGAGAAAAAGUACUCGUUGCAAAGUUAUACUGUUAGGGCGCAACUGAAUAGUCUAAUGUUGCUCCGGUUUUUGUUCUGGUGAGCGUUGACAUCGAUUUGUUCCAAAUUUACCCUCUCUGGGCAUAAUAGAACAAUAUAAUUAGGGUUUACACUUUCUCCGAUAAAAUGAGAAAAAGUACACGUUGCAAAGUUAUACUGUUAGGGCGCAACUGAGUAGUCUAAUGUUGUUCCGGUUUUUGUUCUUGUGAGCGUUGAAAUCGAUUCGUUCCAAAUUUACACUCUCUGGUCAUAAUAGAAUAAUAUAACUAGGUUUUACGCUUUCUUCGAUAAAAUGAGAAAAAGUAUUCGUUGCAAAGUUAUACUGUUAGUGCGCAACUGAGUAGUCUAAUGUUGUUCUGGUUUUUGUUCUUGUGAGCGAUGACAUCGAAUCGUUCCAAAUUUACACUCUCUGGGCAUAAUAGAACAAUAUAAUUAGGUUUUACACUUUUCUUCGAUAAAAUGAGAAAAAAUACUCGUUGCAAAGUUAUACUGUUAGGGCGCAACUGAGAAGUCUAAUGUUGUUCCGGUUUUUGUUCUUGUGAGCGUUGACAUCGAUUCAUUCCAAAUUUACACUAUCUGGGCAUAAUAGAACAAUAUAAUUAGAUUUUACGGUUUCUUCGAUAAAAUGAAAAAAAGAACUCGUUGCAAAGUUAUACUGUUAUGGAGCAACUGAGUGGUCUAAUGUUGUUCCGAUUUUUGUUCUUGUGAGCGUUAACAUCGGAUCGUUCCAAAUUUACACUCUCUGGGCAUAAUAGAACAAUAUAAUUAGGUUUUACGCUUUCUUCGAUAAAAUGAGAAAAAGUACUCGUUGCAAAGUUAUACUGUUANA
rnacentral:lncRNA from 1 species